UAAAAUGAACAUAAGCAUUAACAGCAAAUACACAAUAUUAACAAUUUGAUGUUCCAUGAAGAAUUGAAAUUUCGACAUGCUCUCUAGUUAUCGACUUAUCAUGCAACAAAAAUAAAGUUACAGAGAAAUUCUAAAUUCUAAUAAGUACACUUACAGAAUAAUUUUAACAAACCAAGCACACUAUAGACCCCAAAGGCAGCUCAACUGGCAUGUGCUCUUCAUUAGGAAUGGGCAGUCUGACAUCGUUCUUGGGGGGUAAGGUCACGUAGCUUUAUUUUCCCCAAUGAUGGUUUCCAAGAUAUGAAUGGGAAAGAACCUAAAAAAUCAUUAAAUGGGCUGGGGGGAGUAUGGGAGACUGAUUUUUGUUUCUCCUGUGUCCUACAAGUUUCUUCAAAAUAUUUGCUCAGGAUCGGGAGGCCUGACGUGGUUCUUAGGGAGAGGUUAGUCUUCCGUGAUUUUCCCCAUCCACGGAGGUGCCAAAAAUAAACACAAAGACAAGUGAUGGAGUAUAUUGCAUUUCCUUAAUGCAUUAUGAAGGAGAUAGGUGGCAACAGAUGGUGAGAUAUAGAUCUUAUCUCCCACUUGACCCCUGUUGUACUGUCUCACAGACCACAUGGUACCUUUUUGAAUGGUUGGGUUGCUACAAGUAUCCUGUAGCACAGCUGGAUUAUGACACAGCCUGAUUGGGCCAUGUGAGGUUCAUGAGUAAGACAACAAUAUUUUGUCCAAGGAUUUGUUCUGACUGACCUCCUUGGCUCAACAAUACAUGGAAAAUUAAAGAGACAGAUGAUGGCAAAUGCUGUAUCUCCUUGAGGAAAUCAUUUUUGGGUGAGAUUACAGGAUCAGAUGGUAAGAUGCAUCUCUCCCAGUUUACACCUGUCACACUGAUUCGCAGAACAAUGCUGCUUUACAAUGGAUUGAGUUGCUACAAAGAUUCCAUACCACAAAAGGUUUGCGCCGCACUCUGAUUGAGCCACAAGAGGCUCAUGAAUAAGACACAACCAUAACAUUCUGUCCAAGGAUUUGAUCUAUAAGUUUGUUUGGUUUAUAAUGCAUACAUUUAGUGGCUAGUGAAGCAAUUUCAAUACAAUGAUCAGUUAGGGAAAACUGCAUGCAUGCUCACCAACAUAAACAAUUUGAAAGUCACAUGUGUACUUAUGGGUACCUCUUCCAAAUUUACUAUUGAUCUGGCAUCCAAACAUUGAACAAUGAAGAAGAACGCUAUUUGGAAGAGGAAACUACCCAGUAGGAAAAGCUCAUAUUUGAGUCUUCUCACUUAUUUGGUUCUUUAUCUCAAAUUUCAUGAAAACUAAUUUGGAGAAGAAACAGAAAUUUUCCCUUUUUGGAUCAGUAAAAGAGAAGAUUCUAAUAUUAUCUAGUGAACUGGAGCAAAGUAUGUUAAAGACGGGCAUCGAGCAAGACUAUUGAGUUUAAUGGACAUUGUGUAAAAUUAUCUCUGGAGUCAGGGGGGUUUCAAGGGUAGGGUUAGUAUCUUCCAGGUCAUGUAUAUCUCACACAAUUUCUUUUUGGGCUGUUUCUACAAUGUUGACUUAGCUUAAGAGAUGAGGGCAUACCUCCUAAGUUGCCAAUACAUGAGGCAGGAUGGCAUGGUUUCCUACAUUCUUUACAAAUUUUACAAAUCAAGAGCUUGCUUCAGUGAAGGUUCUUUUAACUUCUUCACCUACGUCAUGGAAGCAGCUAAAUUAGUAAAUCACAAGUUGGGAGGUACACCAGGUCAGAAUAACAAGGAACUGAACAUGACUACUAGGCAUUGUAAUAACCCAAUUCUUAAGAAGUUCAUAUGGAACUUUCAUGCUGCUUCAGAAGUGGAAUCCUGGACCAUGGAGUGGACAAAACCAUGAAGGCUAACCAUAAAAGUGGCUCAUCCCAAACUGGUUAGUUAUUGGUAUCUAUCCUGCACAUUUAAUUCCUUACUGGGAUGCCCAUGUGUGUCUUUUUGUGUACUAUCUUCCCCUGUGGCAUUUAAGGAUCCAUCCUGAGGAACCCAAAUUGAUACCGCUGUGAUUUCAUUUAUCCUCCACUUGGCAGUCAGGAAGAGAAACAAGAUUGAGAGUUUGAAUGAGAACGUUUUGUUUAUAGCUGCUCCAAGAAAACUAAAACAUCCACAAAAUGAGCCUACCAAAACUAUUUACCCUACUUGAUUUGAGUUCUUCCCUUAAUGAAACCAGAAUAAUAUAUAGUAAAGGAUCUCAAUCAAACCAUUUCCUCUACAUCCAAAUGGAGGACUAGUUCUAUUAUGAAAAGGGUGAAAAUCCCAAGAAAAAGAGCAAAAUAUACUGCAUCUAUGAUAUAUUUGCUUGGCAAAAUAUGGAAGAACUACAGUUGAAUUGAGAAUUAAACAGAUGAUAUUAAACCUCCACACAAGGCAAAUUGAGGGAAAUCAAAACAAGAAAAUUAUUUAAAUCACAUGUUCCACAUUUUUUUGGUGAAUGGCUACUUCUGAUUGAUUUGAAUAAAUCGUUUCUGACAAAAAAGAAAAAAAGGCUCCAAAAAAUGAAUUCCGCUCUCAUGCUAUUUUACUGGUUUUCAUUUAGUUUCCACCAUUCAUUUUGAAAUUGAAAAUGAGCAUAGACUACUAAAUAGAGGGACAAACAAAUGCUAUUUUUUAGUGUGUUGAUGAGAGGAGCCCUAAAACUGGAAGAAAAUUCAAAUAAACACAGCUCCUCGAAAU
rnacentral:lncRNA from 1 species